rnacentral:lncRNA from 1 species
UCGUAUAAAAUCCCUUGCCACGACUUUUACCGGUCGAGAGAGCCCCUCCUUGUGUCGUAGGUUCCUCUCCCUCCACAGGUGCCAUAUAAAUGCUGCAAGUGCAUUCCAAUGUAGCCCCCAGCAUGGUGCUGAUUUUCUGAAUUUGGAUAUCCCCUCCAUGAUAUCACCCACUCUUAUAUCCCCUAGCUUUAUUUCCGUGAUACCCAUAAGUUUCCAUAGCGCGUUAUCUGUCAACCUUAUAAAUUCGUUCCAAAGAGACCAGCUGAAUUCGCAAUUGAAGAAUAAAUGAGCUGUCGAUUCCUCAACUGUGUCACAUAGGACACACUUUGCUGGAACCACUAUCCCCC